rnacentral:lncRNA from 1 species
AUUUUGCUUAUGGAAAACAAUCAAACGUGUUAGCUGAUGCAGUUGUUGUCUUUAGCUUGUUACGUUAGGAUUUAACUUGUUCUUUAUGAAAACCAGACAUAACUGCGUCAUUUCUUCUUAUUUCCGUCAAAACAACAUUUAGCACGAGGCUGCAUCACCAUAUACAUUAGCUAGUGUCAUAAAAUGGAAUCCAGUAAAAAAAAAAGAUGAUGUUUCUGUUAGAUUGUUUGGGUAGCUUUUAAUGGUGAGUCUAAUCGUGAAAGCAGCCACUUUUGGCCUUACAUAAAAGACUAUUUUGAAGUUGUUGGAAGUGAAAGUGGAUCCCAAUCCAAAAAUAUUUUGUUGCAGUGUAAGUUGUGUUUCCCAUAAAGAAUAUUUACAGUACAAUAAGAAAUCACUUUUUAAUCUAAAGAAACAUAUUAGUUACAAACAUUCACAUAAUUCAAGUAUUUUGAAUCGUGCCCCAAGAGAGGAAUGGAGGCAAACAAAUCAAGCAAACGGUCGGUUGAAGCAGCAGACACAUGGGCUCAUACCUCUAGUAAGAGAAAAACUGGGAUAUAUGAAGCAGAACAACCAACUCAUGGAGCCUCCAUUGUUGCCAGUGCCGGGAAGGUUAACUAAUGUAAAAUAAAUCAUAACUGAUUUGAUCAUUGAGGAAAAAUCAUAUUCAGACAUUACACUUACAGUAGAAUAAAACAGUUUUUGGUAGAAAAGCCCCCUACAUGCACAAUUAACGAUAAAUUCGCCCAGAAAAAAGCGGAACUGAGCCAACUACUGGAGCUGCUGCAACAGAUCCUAUCUGGCUGUGCCUGUGCAUUGGAUUGACCCAGAAAGCCUGAAGAGGGAAUAUGCAGGGUUUGCUUGCCACUGCCUCACUGGUCACCACACCUUUGACAUGAUUGCCAAGGAACUGGAAGCAGUUUACAUUAAAUAUUGCAUUCAAAACAAGAUUACCAAGACCAUUACUGACAAUUGGUUCAACUUUGUUAAGACAUUCAGGAUCUUCUCCAUUGAAUGAAGGGCUGAACCUGUAAAUAGUGAUGCUGGUGAUUCCAAAGCAGAGCAAAGCUCACUGGACUCAAGUGAUGAACAAAAAAAAAAGAGAUAUCAUUAGUAGUGAGAGAAUCAAGUGAGGUUUGUCUUCUCCACAAGCAUCUUUGAUGUGCAUCAUAUACACUCAAUUUAGUAGCAACCAGUGAUGUAGAAAAGGAUUUGAGUGAUGGUACGUUGAAGAAAGUUUCCUUUUUGGCAUUUGUGAAGGUCCUCAUGCUUUGAAACAAACAGAGCCAAAGCACCGUAGCAGCUGACUUUAUACAACAAGAACUGGGUGAGCAUUUUGUUGUUCCAUGCGCUACACAGUAUGAUGUGUUUGUUCUUAUGGAGAGCUUAAUAACAAAGAGAGAGAGAGUUCAGUCAAUAAAGUGUGUGAUGAGCUGGGCAUUCCUCGUUCAAACUUUCGAAUAUAAACUUCAUCAAAGAUGCAUAAUUGUCAUGUGACCUUUAGCAUGUGUGUUAGAUUUACUUCAAAGUGAAAUUAAUGCCUAUAUGAGACUACUGCCAAAACUUAUUGUAUGUUUGACAAAACUGAAAGAUCUUUGUAGUAAACCCUCUGGACUUGCAAGCCACUUGUUAAUGUUUUGAUUUCAGAAAUUAGGAAGCAUUUUGAAGCUGCAUUUGUCACUGAGGUUCAUGUUCUCGUAGCUGCUUUUCACCCAUAGUUCAAACUCAUAUGGAUUAGCUUAAAUGCUAGGAAAGAAACUGUAAAACAAAUGACGAUUAAAAAACUUCCAGAGAAGAUGGAAGGUGGCUGUGAUAAAAAUUCAGCAAAUGUUGAUUUAAGUGAUUUUUCAUCAUUUUCAAGCACUGAGGGAGAUGAUGAAGAAGACUUUUUCAUGUCCUUUAAACAAGAAGCAAAAUCUGCAAGUAAUUUGUCUCAAAGUAGCAAUAAUCAAAUAAAAGUGUUCAUGAGCGAAGAACCAUCAACUUCAAAAGAUAUAGAACCAAGCUUGUUCCCAGUUUUAAAUUUCUCUUCAUUUACUUCAAAACGUCCAUUCCAUUGAGUGCUUCUUUAGAAUUUAAAGGUUUAAUAAAACCACUGCCUUUAUUUCAUGUUUUAUUAUAAUUUUAUUACAAUCUUUAUCGUGUAAACUUUUUGCCUUUUGUAACUUUAUCAUCACAUUUUUAUUUAGAUAUAUAAUCAGGUGUCAUGUAGUAUUAAAUAUUUUGUUUCUAUGAUAAGUGAUACACCUCUGAUGAAAUACUGUGAUAAUAUUUUCAUUAUGUAGACACAUCCAUAUUUUAAAAAAGAAUGUCACAUGAAAGAAACCAUUAAUUUUAUAAAACUGCACUAUAUAUGUACUGGUUCAUGUAUAAAGUGUAUGUUGGAAUGUUACAUUAUAUGUACAAUUUCAGGCAUAAAGAAGUGGUAUGUAAAAUAUAAAAUUGUGUAGCUACUGAUAGUUUUAUCACAGAAAGCUUUAUUUAUUAAGAAAAGUAAAAUUUUUCCUUGUCUGA